UUGUUGGUAAGGUAAAAGCUUACCAAGGCUUCGAUCAGUAGCUGGUCUGAGAGGACGGCCAGCCACACUGGGACUGAGACACGGCCCAGACUCCUACGGGAGGCAGCAGUGGGGAAUUUUGGACAAUGGGGGCAACCCUGAUCCAGCCAUGCCGCGUGAGUGAAGAAGGCCUUCGGGUUGUAAAGCUCUUUCAGCCGGAACGAAACGGUUACGGUUAAUACCCGUGACUACUGACGGUACCGGAAGAAGAAGCACCGGCUAACUACGUGCCAGCAGCCGCGGUAAUACGUAGGGUGCGAGCGUUAAUCGGAAUUACUGGGCGUAAAGCGUGCGCAGGUGGUUUUGUAAGUCAGAUGUGAAAGCCCCGGGCUCAACCUGGGAACUGCGUUUGAAACUACAAGACUAGAGUGUGGCAGAGGGGGGUGGAAUUCCGCGUGUAGCAGUGAAAUGCGUAGAGAUGUGGAGGAACACCGAUGGCGAAGGCAGCCCCCUGGGUCAGCACUGACGCUCAGGCACGAAAGCAUGGGGAGCAAACAGGAUUAGAUACCCUGGUAGUCCAUGCCCUAAACGAUGUCAACUAGUUGUCGGGCCUUUACGGGCUUGGUAACGUAGCUAACGCGUGAAGUUGACCGCCUGGGGAGUACGAUCGCAAGAUUAAAACUCAAAUGAAUUGACGGGGACCCGCACAAGCGGUGGAUUAUGUGGAUUAAUUCGAUGCAACGCGAAAAACCUUACCUACCCUUGACAUGUAUCGAAGCCCGCAGAAAAGCGGGGGUGCCCGAAAGGGAACGAUAACACAGGUGCUGCAUGGCUGUCGUCAGCUCGUGUCGUGAGAUGUUGGGUUAAGUCCCGCAACGAGCGCAACCCUUGUCAUUAAUUGCCAUCAUUUAGUUGGGCACUUUAAUGAGACUGCCGG
rnacentral:rRNA from 1 species